AUUUAAUUAGUAUAUAUAAGUACAUUUAAUUUCCAAUUAAAAAGAUUUUUUUACAAAAUUAAAUA
rnacentral:tRNA from 1 species